rnacentral:rRNA from 1 species
ACAGAUCGUUCAGAGUUUGAUCCUGGCUCAGGACGAACGCUGGCGGCGUGCCUAAUACAUGCAAGUCGAGCGAACAGAUGAGGAGCUUGCUCCUCUGACGUUAGCGGCGGACGGGUGAGUAACACGUGGGGCAACCUGCCCUAUAGUUUGGGGAUAACUCGCGGAAACGUGAGCUAAUACCGAAUAAUACAUUUCAUCUCCUGGUGGAAUGUUGAAAGAUGGUUUUUCGCUAUCGCUAUAGGAUGGGCCCGCGGCGCAUUAGCUAGUAGGUGGGGUAACGGCUCACCUAGGCAACGAUGCGUAGCCGACCUGAGAGGGUGAUCGGCCACACUGGGACUGAGACACGGCCCAG